AAAGAAUCAAAAACAACAACUUCGUUUUCUUCUCCUGCCCAGAACUCAUUUUACUCGUGGAGUUCACGACUGCUGCUCCUUCACCAACGAGGCUGCUCCUUCUCGUUUGAGAUUACACAGGCUGAUUGGUGAUUAAUCAAUUUGAGUAGAACUUCGUUUCGCCUGGAUUCAGCUCCACGCUUCUGUCGAUUGCUUUCUGUAAUUUGUCCAAGUUGAUUCACAAAGGUAAAAUCCUCACCUGUUAUUGAAAUGAUUUCUCUCUUCAUUGUUCUAGUUCUGAUUAUUAUCAAUUGGAGAUUCAUGGAGCCAUUUGUUAUGCCAAGCAAAGAAAACAAGAGGAACCAUUUUUAAUGAAGGUUUCAUUGAUAUGUGAGCUUUUCUUAUGGUCCUUGGCUUGGAAUGUGGUAUGACAAGACUAUGUUAACUUCAUGAAAUUGCCGAUAAUCCUGUGGACUGUUGGCAGGGCCAAGGCCGCCUUUCUUGUGGUUAUCCAUGGUGGACAAUCUGUAUUACUUCUGUAGGUGCAUUAUAUUGUGCAGUAUGCACAUAAGAAGACCAUUAGAAGUAUUAACAUUCUAGUGUGUAGGCAAGCAGACUUAAUUUGCACUGCUGUCUGGGUGUAUUUUUCAUUAGUUGUCAGUGAGCAAGCUUGCUGUACCUGAAGUAUCUUUAUAGUGAGUUAUAUGUUGAUAAGAACAUCGUUGGAUCAAGGGACUGGAAUGCUAGUCCGUUUAUUUUUCAA